GCAUCUACCAGGAGACACAUGGAAAAAGACAUUCUCUUCCAUUAAUGAUGCCCGGAGAAUCGAAUUCCCUCUGUAUCUUAUACACUGCACAAAAAUAAUUCAAAAGAGGUGAAAAGCCCAAGUGUACAACCUGAGACCAGGAUGCUUCCACAGGAGGAUGUAAGAAGAGAAUCUCACUGACACUAGCUUUGAGGAAAUCUGUUUGUACAUCUUUUGAGAUGAAGGUUCACUGGGACCCAGAGUCAGUGUUUGAUCAGCUGUAUUGCAAACGGUGAGCUCGCCAGCGGGAGAGGUGCUCUCUGCCUAGCUCUCUCUAGAGUUGGAAACAUAGACCGUCCACAAGUACUUGCUCAACUCUUCAUCAAUAGAAUCCUUCUAUGA